CCUACGGGCGGCAGCAGUGAGGAAUAUUGGUCAAUGGGCGGGAGCCUGAACCAGCCAAGCCGCGUGAGGGAAGAAGGUACAGCGUAUCGUAAACCUCUUUUGUCAGGGAACAAAGGCGGGGACUAGUCCCCGGAUGAGGGUACAUGAAGAAAAAGCAUCGGCUAACUCCGUGCCAGCAGCCGCGGUAAUACGGAGGAUGCGCGCGUUAUCCGGAUUUAUUGGGUUUAAAGGGUGCGCAGGCGGCCUGUUAAGUCAGCGGGAAAAGCCCGGGGCUCAACCCCGGCGAGCCGGUGAAACUGGCGGGCUGGAGUUGGAGAGAAGUACGCGGAAUGCGCGGUGUAGCGGUGAAAUGCUUAGAUAUCGCGCAGAACCCCGAUUGCGAAGGCAGCGUACCGGCUCCACACUGACGCUGAGGCACGAAAGCGUGGGUAUCGAACAGGAUUAGAUACCCCAGUAGUC
rnacentral:rRNA from 1 species